AGAGUUUGAUCAUGGCUCAGGACGAACGCUGGCGGCGCGCUUAACACAUGCAAGUCGAGCGAGAACCGAGGCCUUCGGGCCUCGGGGAAAGCGGCGAACGGGUGAGUAACACGUGGGCAACCCACCCUUGGUACCGGGAUAGCCCGGGGAAACCCGGAUUAAUACCGGAUGGCCCAGCAGCUUUUCGGAGCGGCUGGAAAAGGGAGCUUCGGCCUCCGACCAAGGACGGGCCCGCGGCGGAUUAGCUUGUUGGUGGGGUAACGGCUCACCAAGGCGACGAUCCGUAGCUGGUCUGAGAGGACGAUCAGCCACACUGGGACUGAGAGACGGCCCAGACUCCUACGGGAGGCAGCAGUGGGGAAUCUUGCGCAAUGGCCGAAAGGCUGACGCAGCGACGCCGCGUGUGGGAUGAAGCUCUUCGGGGUGUAAACCACUGUUGCCCGGGACGAACAUCCUCUUUCGAGAGGACUGACGGUACCGGGUGAGGAAGCACCGGCUAACUUCGUGCCAGCAGCCGCGGUAAUCAAUCGC
rnacentral:rRNA from 1 species